rnacentral:rRNA from 1 species
UGGGGAAUAUUGGACAAUGGGCGCAAGCCUGAUCCAGCCAUGCCGCGUGAGUGAUGAAGGCCCUAGGGUUGUAAAGCUCUUUCGCCAGGGACGAUAAUGACGGUACCUGGAUAAGAAGCCCCGGCUAACUUCGUGCCAGCAGCCGCGGUAAUACGAAGGGGGCUAGCGUUGUUCGGAAUCACUGGGCGUAAAGCGCACGUAGGCGGAUCUUUAAGUCAGGGGUGAGAUCCCGAGGCUCAACCUCGGAACUGCCUUUGAUACUGGAGGUCUCGAGUUCGGGAGAGGUGAGUGGAACUGCGAGUGUAGAGGUGAAAUUCGUAGAUAUUCGCAAGAACACCAGUGGCGAAGGCGGCUCACUGGCCCGAUACUGACGCUGAGGUGCGAAAAGCGUGGGGGAGCAAAACAGGAUUAGAUACCCUGGUAGUCCACGCCGUAAAACGAUGGAUGCUGGCCGUUGGGGAGCUUGCUCUUCAGUGGCGCAGCUAACGCUUUAAGCAUCCCGCCU